rnacentral:rRNA from 1 species
AGAGUUUGAUCCUGGCUCAGGACGAACGCUGGCGRCGUGCCUAACACAUGCAAGUCGAGCRGAGACGAUAGCAAUAUUGUCUUAGCGGCGGACGGGUGAGUAACACGUGGGCAACCUGCCUUCUUCCGGGGGAUAACAUUGGGAAACCGGUGCUAAUACCGCAUGAAAUCGCGAUACCGCAUGGUGAUGCGAUCAAAGGAGCAAUCCGGAGGAAGAGGGGCCCGCGUCCGAUUAGAUCGUUGGUGGGGUAACGGCCUACCAAGUCUGCGAUCGGUAGCCGGACUGAGAGGUCGAACGGCCACAUUGGGACUGAGAUACGGCCCAGACUCCUACGGGGGGCAGCAGUGGGGAAUAUUGCACAAUGGGGGAAACCCUGAUGCAGCAACGCCGCGUGAAGGAUGAAGGUUUUCGGAUUGUAAACUUCUUUGACCGGGGACGAAACAAAUGACGGUACCCGGAAAACAAGCCACGGCUAACUACGUGCCAGCAGCCGCGGUAAUACGUAGGUGGCGAGCGUUGUCCGGAAUUACUGGGUGUAAAGGGCGUGUAGGCGGGUCUGCAAGUCAGAUGUGAAAUUCCGGGGCUUAACUCCGGCGCUGCAUUUGAAACUGCGGAUCUUGAGUGUUGGAUAGGGAAGUGGAAUUCCUAGUGUAGCGGUGAAAUGCGUAGAUAUUAGGAGGAACACCRGUGGCGAAGGCGRCUKCCUGGACMRMWAYUGACGCUGAGRCGCGAAAGCGUGGGKAGCAAACAGGAUUAGAUACCCUGGUAGUCC